rnacentral:rRNA from 1 species
CAGUAGCCGCGGUAAUACAGAGGGUGCGAGCGUUAAUCGGAUUUACUGGGCGUAAGCGUGCGUAGGCGGCUUCUUAAGUCGGAUGUGAAAUCCCUGAGCUUAACUUAGGAAUUGCAUUCGAUACUGGGAAGCUAGAGUAUGGGAGAGGAUGGUAGAAUUCCAGGUGUAGCGGUGAAAUGCGUAGAGAUCUGGAGGAAUACCGAUGGCGAAGGCAGCCAUCUGGCCUAAUACUGACGCUGAGGUACGAAAGCAUGGGGAGCAAACAGGAUUAGAUACCCGCGUAGUCCCUGUCUCUUAUACA